UACGGGGGGGGCAAGCGUUGUUCGGAAUUACUGGGCGUAAAGGGUCCGUAGGUGGCCAACUAAGUCAGACGUGAAAUCCCUCAGCUUAACUGGGGAACUGCGUCUGAGACUGGAUGGCUCGAGUGCAGGAGAGGAAUGCGGAAUUCCAGGUGUAGCGGUGAAAUGCGUAGAUAUCUGGAGGAGCACCGGUGGCGAAGGCGGCAUUCUGGACUGCAACUGACACUGAACGACGAAAGCCAGGGGAGCAAACGGG
rnacentral:rRNA from 1 species